rnacentral:rRNA from 1 species
UACAGAGGGUGCAAGCGUUGUUCGGAAUUACUGGGCGUAAAGCGCGUGUAGGUGGCGAUGUAAGUCGGGUGUGAAAUCCCUCGGCUCAACCGAGGAAGUGCACUCGAUACUGUGUCGCUUGAGUGUUGGAGGGGAUGGCGGAAUUCCCGGUGUAGAGGUGAAAUUCGUAGAUAUCGGGAGGAACACCUGUGGCGAAGGCGGCCAUCUGGACCACUACUGACGCUGAGACGCGAAAGCGUGGGUAGCAAACAGG